GUUUUCUUUGGCAGCACAUAUACUAAAAUUGGAAUGAUAUAGAACUUAGCAUGGCCACUGCACAAGAAUGACACGCACACAAAUUCAUGAAAUGCUCCAUAUUUUU
rnacentral:snRNA from 2 species